GUCGACCUGUUUGACUCACAUCGGGGUUUCCCGCUCUCACAGGAGAUCUGAGCGUUGAGCUUCCUCUCCGACCUGCAGCCCAUGGAACUGAUCUGCUUCAGGCAGCAGUGGUGGAAGAAGCAACACCUGCUGCUCACCUGUCCAGCUGGUCCAGAGGUUGACCGCCGCCCUCCUGUCCGCAGUAGCAGCCGUACAUCUCGUACUCAUGUGGACAGCGCCCCGUCAGGCAGUGGAGCAUCUCCCCCAACGCCGGCAUCUCCCGCCUGGCUCGGCCAUCGCUGCCGUACAGGGUGAGGGAGCGACUGCAUUCUGUUGGGAGAUUGACGGAGAAACACAGCUAGACAGGAGGGAGACGUCUUCAGUGAAACACAGCUAAAGAUACUUAGCCAUACCUGUGCUGUCUGGCUGUAGCUGUAGGUCGGUCAGCCCAACAGACUCCAGCAGGGACCAGGCGAAGAACGGAACCGUCCUCUUCUGAGCCACAUCCCACUCUGCCAACAGAAGAAAAAAACACAUGCAGGAAACUCUGAGGCCGAGCAGCUUCAACAUCAUUAGAGACAGACGACACGCUGAGGAUGAAAAUGUCGACAUGUUAGCGUGGAGGCUUCAGGGUCACUGCAGAUUAUCUUCGAUGUCAAUGGAGAACAAAGAGGCCAAAUGGGGGAGAGGCAGAAGAAUGAAAACCAGAAAGCUGCUUGUAUUUUAUAUGUUUUUUUACCAUCUGCGUCCUUCUCCUGCGAGCUGUCGGCGUCUUCUCCUUCCACA